rnacentral:lncRNA from 1 species
GUCUUCUUUUGGAACCUCUGUAGAACCUUACAACAGAAAUAUCUCUUAAUCUUCAACCUCUAUUGAUUCAUCCACUCAUUUAUUCUUUCACUUACCUAUUUACAGACAUUUAUUAAGCAUCCACAUGUACCAGGAACUCUGCUAGGGGCAAGAAUUUAGAAAAUAAACAAGAAUGUGGGCCCUUUCCUCAGGGAACACAGUGUUUCCAAGUCACUUUUGACAAAUACUUCUGGAGCUGACUCUUUUAAUAAUAAUGGUCUUGCUGUUGAUGAUAUUUUUGAGCCUUUUCUUCAUGGCAGAACCUCUAAUAGUUAUUUUAGAUGUAUUGCUUAAUAUUCUCAACAACUUCAUGAGGUAGGUACCACUAUUGUCUCCAAAUAAUACAGAUGAGGGAAUCGAGGCCCAGAGAAGUCGUAUCACUUUCCCAAGAUCACACAGUUCAUAAGGGCUGAAUUCUAGAGCUAAUCUGGAGUCUGACCCCAGAGACAGGCCUUUUUAAUUACCACAGGCUCUCUGAGCCCUACAAACCAUCCAAUGAGAAGUGUCAGAAGUGCAAGGAAAAUAGACAAAAGAGAGAAGAAGAAAGAUGUUAAACAAGACUCUGGUGAGAACAUAAUUUUACCCUGGUUGACUCUGGAUAUAAGGGCAUCUGAAAAGCACAUUGGCUAUAAAAGUGUGUUUCCAACAGUCCUAGAGCCAUCCUUUCUAAAAGAUAACAUGUUCCCC